rnacentral:rRNA from 1 species
GACGAACGCUGGCGGCGUGCUUAACACAUGCCAGUCGAACGGAAAGGCCCUGCUUUUGUGGGGUGCUCGAGUGGCGAACGGGUGAGUAACACGUGAGUAACCUGCCCUUGACUUUGGGAUAACUUCAGGAAACUGGGGCUAAUACCGGAUAGGAGCUCCUGCUGCAUGGUGGGGGUUGGAAAGUUUCGGCGGUUGGGGAUGGACUCGCGGCUUAUCAGCUUGUUGGUGGGGUAGUGGCUUACCAAGGCUUUGACGGGUAGCCGGCCUGAGAGGGUGACCGGCCAAAAUGGGACUGAGAUACGGCCCAGAAUCCUACGGGAGGCAGCAGUGGGGAAUAUUGCACAAUGGGCGGAAGCCUGAUGCAGCAACGCCGCGUGCGGGAUGACGGCCUUCGGGUUGUAAACCGAUUUCGCCUGUGACGAAGCGUGAGUGACGGUAAUGGGUAAAGAAGCACCGGCUAACUACGUG